GCCUAAGGCGAGGACGAGAGUCGUAGCCGAUGGACAACAGGUGGAGAUUCCUGUACUGCGGUAUGACAGAACUGUGGGGACACGUAAGGAAAGCGGAAGCCGGGAAUGGAGAGCCCGGUGCAAGCGGGGUACCAGUCACUUUGGCAAAUCCGGGUGGCAAUGGGAAGCCGUGAUGCGGAGCGAAAUAAAGUAGUGAAGUCCGUGAGCCAUGCGUCAAGAAAAGCCGCUAUUGUUUGUACCGUACCCGUACCGUAAACCGACACAGGUGGAUGAGGAGAGAAUCCUAAGGCCGGCGGAAGAAGCAUUGUCAAGGAACUCGGCAAAAUGGCCCCGUAACUUAGGGAUAAGGGGUGCCUCAGAAAUGAGGCCGCAGAGAAUAGGCUCAAGCAACUGUUUAGCAAAAACACAGGUCUAUGCGAAACCGAAAGGUGAGGUAUAUGGGCUGACGCCUGCCCGGUGCCGGAAGGUUAAGAGGAGAGGUUUGCGCAAGCGAAGCUUUGAAUUUAAGCCCCAGUAAACGGCGGCCGUAACUAUAACGGUCCUAAGGUAGCGAAAUUCCUUGUCGGGUAAGUUCCGACCCGCACGAAAGGCGUAAUGAUUUGAGCGCUGUCUCGACAAUGCAUCCGGUGAAAUUGAAGUACCAGUGAAGAUGCUGGUUACCUGCGCCAGGACGGAAAGACCCCAUGGAGCUUUACUCCAGUUUGGUACUGGGACUCGGUAUUGCAUGUACAGGAUAGGUGGGAGGCUAGGAGAUAGUAACGCCAGUUAUUAUGGAGCCGCUGUUGGGAUACCACCCUUGCAGUAUUGGGUUUCUAACCAGCCGCCGUGACCCGGCGGUGGGACAAUGCCAGACGGGGAGUUUGACUGGGGCGGUCGCCUCCGAAAGGGUAUCGGAGGCGCCCAAAGGUCCCCUCAGAAUGGACGGAAACCAUUCGAAGAGUGCAAAGGCAGAAGGGAGCUUGACUGCGACACCGACGGGUGGAGCAGGUACGAAAGUAGGGCUUAGUGAUCCGGUGGUAUUAAGUGGGAAUGCCAUCGCUCAACGGAUAAAAGCUACCCUGGGAUAACAGGCUUAUCACUCCCAAGAGUUCACAUCGACGGAGUGGUUUGGCACCUCGAUGUCGGCUCAUCGCAUCCUGGGGCUGUAGUAGGUCCCAAGGGUUGGGCUGUUCGCCCAUUAAAGCGGUACGCGAGCUGGGUUCAGAACGUCGUGAGACAGUUCGGUCCCUAUCCGGCGUGGGCGUAGGAUAUCUGAGAGGAGCUGUCCUUAGUACGAGAGGACCGGGAUGGACGGGCCGCUGGUGCAUCGGUUAGACUGCCAGGUCUACGGCCGAGUAGCCAAGCCCGGAAGGGAUAAACGCUGAAGGCAUCUAAGCGUGAAGCCCCCCUUAAGAUGAGAUAUCCCAUUCGAAAGAAGUAAACCCCCUUGAAGACGACGAGGUAGAUAGGGCAGAGGUGGAAGUGUGGCAACACAUGGAGCUGACUGUUACUAAUCGGGUGAGGGCUUGAUC
rnacentral:rRNA from 1 species